GCUUGCUUUUUUCUAUGAGAGCGGCGAACGGGUGAGUAACACGUUGGUAUCUGCCCCCAAGUCAGGGAUAGCCAUUGGAAACGAUGAUUAAUACCGGAUAGUCUCUUCGGAGUAAAAAUUUAUUGCUUGGGGAGGAGCCUGCGUUCUAUCAGCUUGUUGGUGAGGUAAUAGCUCACCAAGGCUAUGACGGAUACUUGAUCUGAGAGGAUGAUCAGGCACAAUGGAACUGAGACACGGUCCAUACUCU
rnacentral:rRNA from 1 species